GGAGAGGUACCCAAGUGGCUUAAGGGGACGGUUUGCUAAACCGUUAGUGUGCUUACGUGCAGCGAGGGUUCGAAUCCCUCUCUCUCCGCCA
rnacentral:tRNA from 1 species